rnacentral:tRNA from 1 species
GAUCCCGUGGUCUAGUGGUUAUGACGUCUCGCUUACACCGAGAAGAUCACCGGUUCAAGUCCGGUCGGGAUCA